rnacentral:misc_RNA from 1 species
ACCGGAUCCGGAAAGGGGUGUCUGCCUCAGCUGUGCCCUUCACUCCCUCCUCCCCGCUGCUGUCCUGCUCCCAGGAGGGAAGCCGCCACACGAGCAAGCUUUCCCGCCACGGCAGUGGAGCCGACAGUGACUAUGAGAACACGCAAAGUGGGGACCCACUGCUGGGGCUGGAAGGGAAGAGGUUUCUAGAGCUGGGCAAAGAGGAAG